AGGGGCCAUCAGUUGGAUCCAUCCUUACCCCAACGAUAUUGAAAAUGCAGUGUCCACACACCAUUGUCUGAUGAAAAAGUAACGAGCAGAGAAACCUUUAUAGGCUUGUAGCUCAGGUGGUUAGAGCGCACCCCUGAUAAGGGUGAGGUCGGUGGUUCAAGUCCACUCAGGCCUACCAAUUCCCUUGUAUGCUGCCUUGUCUUACCCUCCUUUGCCCCAACAAACGUCCCAUGACUCCGGCUUGCCUGAAAGCAAAUUGGAUCCCUCCUCAUUUGAUGAGUAAAUAAGUAAAGAUCUCUGCAACACUGCAUGGUGCUAUAGUUCUCCUGGCACAGCGCCUGCCUCGCACUCAUGAAGACAGCGAAUCAACCCCUCUUAGCUCCGCCAUAUCGGUCCUGCAUUUACAAUACAUCAGAGUAUAUUGAAAUACCCUAUGCUGCCAACUAUUUUGCUCUUUAACAAUCUGGAACAAGCUGAUAAUUGAAAUGAUGAAUAAUCGUAUGAUUAUUCUCCAGUCUCUCAAAAGCGCAUUCCGAUGUUGGAAACAUCUUCCGGUUGUGAGGUUAAGUGACUAACCGUACACAGUGGAUGCCUUGGCAUUCUUUUUUCUCUCUCCCUCCCCCCCCUUUUAUUUCCAUACUUUUC
rnacentral:misc_RNA from 1 species